AUACGGAGGGUGCGAGCGUUGUCCGGAAUCACUGGGCGUAAAGGGCGCGUAGGCGGUGACUUAAGCGUGUGGUGAAAGCCCGGGGCUCAACCCCGGGUCGGCCGUGCGAACUGGGUCACUCGAGCACUGUAGAGGCAGGUGGAAUUCCGGGUGUAGCGGUGGAAUGCGUAGAGAUCCGGAAGAACACCAGUGGCGAAGGCGGCCUGCUGGGCAGUAGCUGACGCUGAGGCGCGACAGCGUGGGGAGCAAACAGGAUUAGAAACCCCAGUAGUCC
rnacentral:rRNA from 1 species